CUUUUGAAUAUAAUUUAAGGUCUGACCUGCCCAAUGAAUUUUAAAUGGCCGCGGUAUUUUGACCGUGCAAAGGUAGCAUAAUCAUUAGUUUUUUAAUUGAAAGCUGGAAUGAAAGGUUGAAUGAGAAAAUAACUGUCUCUAUUUGAUUAUUUUAGAAUUUUAUUUUUAAGUUAAAAAGCUUAAAUUUAAUUAGAAGACGAGAAGACCCUAUAGAGUUUUAUUAAUUUUAUUAAUAAAUGUGGAUUAGUAUUUAAUAAUAUUUUUAAUAAAAGUAAUUUUAUUGGGGUGAUUAAAAAAUUUAAUAAACUUUUUUUUUAUAUUUACAUUAAUUUAUGGUUAUUUGAUCCUUAUAUUAAGAUUAAAAGAUAAAAUUACCUUAGGGAUAACAGCGUUAUUUUUUUUAAGAGUUCUAAUCGAAAAAAAAGAUUGCGACCUCGAUGUUGGAUUAAAAUUAAAUUUUGGUGUAGAAGCUAAA
rnacentral:rRNA from 1 species